AUUGAACGCUGGCGGCAGGCCUAACACAUGCAAGUCGAGCGGAGCGGCGGACGGGUGAGUAAUGCCUAGGAAUCUGCCUGGUAGUGGGGGAUAACUUCCGGAAACGGGCGCUAAUACCGCAUACUAUCAGAUGAGCCUAGGCCGGAUUAGCUAGUUGGUGGGGUAAAGGCCUACCAAGGCGACGAUCCGUAACUGGUCUGAGAGGAUGAUCAGUCACACUGGGACUGAGACACGGCCCAGACUCCUACGGGAGGCAGCAGUGGGGAAUAUUGGACAAUGGGCGCAAGCCUGAUCCAGCCAUGCCGCGUGUAUGAAGAAGGUCUUAGGGUUGUAAAGUACUUUUGGUAGAGAAGCGGUACCUGCAGAAUAAGCACCGGCUAACUACGUGCCAGCAGCCGCGGUAAUAC
rnacentral:rRNA from 1 species